UCCUCGUUGGCUCAGUUGGUAGAGCGCCUCACUAGUAUGCUUAGUUCGUCGAGCUAAAUACAUACAUAAUGAGGAGGUCAGUCGUUCAAAUCGGCUACGAGGAA
rnacentral:tRNA from 1 species